rnacentral:siRNA from 1 species
GCGGUAGUGUACGAGAGUCUGG